rnacentral:rRNA from 1 species
AUUGAACGCUGGCGGCAGGCCUAACACAUGCAAGUCGAGCGGAUGAAGGGAGCUUGCUCCUGGAUUCAGCGGCGGACGGGUGAGUAAUGCCUAGGAAUCUGCCUGGUAGUGGGGGAUAACGUCCGGAAACGGGCGCUAAUACCGCAUACGCCCUGAGGGAGAAAGUGGGGGAUCUUCGGACCUUACGCUAUCAGAUGAGCCUAGGUCGGAUUAGCUAGUUGGUGGGGUAAUGGCCUACCAAGGCGACGAUCCGUAACUGGUCUGAGAGGAUGAUCAGUCACACUGGAACUGAGACACGGUCCAGACUCCUACGGGAGGCAGCAGUGGGGAAUAUUGGACAAUGGGCGAAAGCCUGAUCCAGCCAUGCCGCGUGUGUGAAGAAGGUCUUCGGAUUGUAAAGCACUUUAAGUUGGGAGGAAGGGCAGUAAGUUAAUACCUUGCUGGUUUGACGUUACCAACAGAAUAAGCACCGGCUAACUUCGUG